rnacentral:rRNA from 1 species
AUUGAACGCUGGCGGCAGGCUUAACACAUGCAAGCCGAGCGGGGGAAGGUAGCUUGCUACCGGACCUAGCGGCGGACGGGUGAGUAAUGCUUAGGAAUCUGCCUAUUAGUGGGGGACAACAUCUCGAAAGGGAUGCUAAUACCGCAUACGUCCUACGGGAGAAAGCAGGGGAUCUUCGGACCUUGCGCUAAUAGAUGAGCCUAAGUCGGAUUAGCUAGUUGGUGGGGUAAAGGCCUACCAAGGCGACGAUCUGUAGCGGGUCUGAGAGGAUGGUCCGCCACACUGGGACUGAGACACGGCCCAGACUCCUACGGGAGGCAGCAGUGGGGAAUAUUGGACAAUGGGGGGAACCCUGAUCCAGCCAUGCCGCGUGUGUGAAGAAGGCCUUAUGGUUGUAAAGCACUUUAAGCGAGGAGGAGGCUGCUCUAGUUAAUACCUAGGGAUAGUGGACGUUACUCGCAGAAUAAGCACCGGCUAACUCUGUGCCAGCCGCCGCAGUAA